UAGCUGGGAGCCUUGUAAAAUCGGGCAGAGAGAGAGACAGACUGUCAAGAGGAAAACAAACAGAAGUGUAUUCACGCGCAUGUUGCAUGUGUACAGAUAAAGACAGCACACAAGCUCCUGAACAAGUGAGCAAGCGCAUAAAUUGGCUAAGUGUCAAUUACUUGCCAAAUUUACGUGGUGUGCAUUUCAUUCUUCUUUCAACUCUUCUGUACAUUUGAAAAUUUUCAAGCAAGAAUGGCCCACAUAGGAGGCUUCUUCUGCAGCUCCCUGCCAUCACCUUCCACAUCACUAACAGGCUCACGAAGCUCACCAGGCCAAUGGCAUCAGCCUGUCUGGACUAAGAGGGGUCCAUCUGCUUCAACUUGCCACCCCCAACGUUCACCCAGGACUCUUCUCCCAGAGUGACCUCAGCACAUGAAAAUGUUCUUCAGCUACCUUCUCUGCUUUAAAGCCUACAAUGGGCCCCAUUUAUUUCACGACAAAAUUCAAACCCUUUCCUGCAGCCUGUAAGACCCUUCAGAACCUAGUUGCUACUUACCGCUCUGACUCCCUCCUAUAUCUCCCCAGUUUUAAGGCUCUGGAGUUAGAGAAACUUAGAUUACAGUUUGCCUCCAUAUCCCAAAAGUUCAGGGAUGAAGGUAUCAUUCUAGACCUCAGUAUAAUCAAUUACACGAUGGGUAAAAUACACCUAUCUCUGAGGUUAUUAUUAAGGUCAAAUAAAAACAAGACAGAAUGUAGGUGCAAAUCUUAGUAACUGGUACA